GAUGAACGCUGGCGGCGUGCCUAAUACAUGCAAGUCGAGCGAACAGACGAGGAGCUUGCUCCUCUGACGUUAGCGGCGGACGGGUGAGUAACACGUGGAUAACCUACCUAUAAGACUGGGAUAACUUCGGGAAACCGGAGCUAAUACCGGAUAAUAUAUUGAACCGCAUGGUUCAAUAGUGAAAGACGGUUUUGCUGUCACUUAUAGAUGGAUCCGCGCCGCAUUAGCUAGUUGGUAAGGUAACGGCUUACCGAGGCAACGAUGCGUAGCCGACCUGAGAGGGUGAUCGGCCACACUGGAGCUGAGACACGGUCCAGACUCCUACGGGAGGCAGCAGUAGGGAAUCUUCCGCAAUGGGCGAAAGCCUGACGGAGCAACGCCGCGUGAGUGAUGAAGGUCUUCGGAUCGUAAAACUCUGUUAUUAGGGAAGAACAAAUGUGUAAGUAACUAUGCACGUCUUGACGGUACCUAAUCAGAAAGCCACGGCUAACUACGUG
rnacentral:rRNA from 1 species